UACGUAGGGGCUAGCGUUAUCCGGAAUUACUGGGCGUAAAGGGUGCGUAGGUGGUUUCUUAAGUCAGAGGUGAAAGGCUACGGCUCAACCGUAGUAAGCCUUUGAAACUGGGAAACUUGAGUGCAGGAGAGGAGAGUGGAAUUCCUAGUGUAGCGGUGAAAUGCGUAGAUAUCGGGAGGAACACCGGUGGCGAAGGCGGCUUUCUGGCCAGUUACUGACGCUCAUGCGCGAAAGCUGGGGUAGCGAACCGGAUUAGAUACCCCCGUAGUCCCUGAGCGGGCUGGCAA
rnacentral:rRNA from 1 species